GGCGCCACCUGGCGGAUGCAUGGGCAGCGGCUGGGGGCGGGGCUAAGGGUGCGGGCGGGGGGGCCCACGUGCCGAGGCCGCUUUACGAGCCCCCCCCCAGUCGGAAGCGGAAAUGUGUGCCACGUGGGGGGGGCGGAGUGGCGCCCGGGUUCCGUCCCAGCUGCCGGGAAAGGCGGCCUGAGUGGAGCAGAGCCGCGCGGCGCGGUGCCCGCCGGGAUGUCGGCCGCGCUGGACCUGAAGUCGAAGGAGGAGAAGGACGCGGAGCUGGACCGGCGCAUCGCGGCGCUGCACAAGAAGAACGAGGCUUUUCUCCGGCGCUACCAGGAGAUCGAGGAGGACCGGAAGCGAGCGGAGCAGGAGGGCAUCGCCGUGACGGCGGCGCGCCGGCCGCGCACCAGCGAGAGCGACGCGGAGCGCCCGCGCGGCGACAAGAAUCUCUCCCUCGUCGUCCAGGUUGCGCUGAGCCCGGGGGAGAAGCGCGUCGUCAGCGACCGGCGCUCACCCACGGCCCCCAAGCCCGGGCGCUCGGCUCCCCGCGGCGCGGGGCGUGCGGGGCCCUACCCCUCCAGCCGCUCGCCGCGGGGGGAGCCCCCCAGCCAGCCCCCUUGGGAAGGGGCGGGGGGUGCUGGCGGGGAUGCGGCGCUCCCUGGCGAGCGCGGGGGUGGGGGCCGGGGCCGGCGCUUCCGGGGCCGCGGAGGGGCCGGCGCGGUGCUGGCGGCCGGAGACGCCGGACCCGACCGGAAGUCCAAGGAGUGGGAGGAGCGGAGGCGGCAGAACAUCGAGAAGAUGAACGAGGAGAUGGAGAAGAUCGCGGAGUAUGAGCGCAACCAGCGGGACGGGCUGCGCGAGAGGAACCCGGUGCGCAACUUCCUGGAUGACCCACGGCGCAGCGGCCCCUUCCAGGAGGUCGACCGCAAGGAGGGGAGCCGGCGCCACGGACGCAACUGGGGGGGCUCCGACUUCGACAAGGUCAAGACAGGCAUGGAGCGCGAGAAGGAGUGGCGCACCCCGGGUCAGCGGCCAGGCCCCAGGGGCCGGGGGGCGCUGGACAUGACGCUGUCCAUGACGGGCCGGGAGCGCGCCGAGUACAUGCGCUGGAAGCAGGAGCGGGAGCAGAUCGACCAGGAGCGGCUGGCGCGGCAUCGCAAGCCCACGGGCCAGUGGCGCCGGGAGUGGGACGCCGAGAAGACGGACACCAUGUUCAAGGAAGGGUCUGCGCCAGCGCCGGGCCCGGAUGGAGGCAGCCGGCAGGACGAGAGCCGGCGCCCGCCCAAGCCACCCACCUUCGGGGAGUUCCUGUCCGAGCACCGCAGCGAGCGCCGCAGGAAGGGCCGCGGCCGGGGCGGGGGCACCUCCACCAAGCCCUACAGCAUGCACGACAACCGCUGGGAGGAGAAGGAGACGCUGCCUCCAGCUGAGGAGAGCGACUGCAGCCCGGGGCCGAGGGGAGAGGCCGUGAGCCCGGCUGCCCAGACACCCCCAGAGCCACCAGCACCUCCAGUCCCCGAGGAAGACGAGGACCAGUGGGAGGAUGUCAGUGGCGAGGAAGAGGAGGAAGACGAGGGGGAUGAGGAGGAGGAUGAAGACGGGUCUGGGUCAUCGGACGAGGACAAGGCACCUCCUCCGGGCUCCCCCAAGGCGCAGCGGGCCCCAAAGGCCGGGCGGGGGGCGGCCCCCAAGCUGGCCAUGCCCCCGGCAGGGGUCCCGGCUGGCGAAGGCAAACCCCUCAGCCCCUUCUCCCCGGUCGAGGGCUACCGGCCUGUCUCGGACUGGGGUGAGGAGAUGGAGCUGAACUCGCCGCGUGGCAACCUGGGGCACAGUCCCCUGCAGGGCCUUGGUGCUGGCCCCCAGGCUCAGGGAGUCAGCGUGGCUGGAGCGGCCACAGACCUGAGCCCCCCAGCGCCCAGCGAGUGCCCGGGAGGGCAGGGAGCACCAGAGGCCGCGCGGCAGGAGGCGGCCGAGCCCGUGGGGGAUGCGGAGGCGCCGGCAGCCCCUGGCAUGACGGAGGCACCGGAGUCGGUGACCCCCACAGCCACCACGGAGCUUGAGGCACCAGGUGCCAGGGUGUCGCGGUGACGCCGCCCGCCGCUGAGCCGGCUCCGGGCACGGUGGAGAUCACGGACUUUGCACGGGGCAGCGGAGGGCCCUGACCCACUCGUCCAGGACCCUGCAGCCUGCUGAGCCUUUCCGAGUAGCGGGGUCUUCGGAGGGACGUGGCCUCACCAUGCAUCUUGCUGCGGUUCAGCCGUUGGCCUCGCUCCGGGGACUCGCUUGUGGGCCUGCAGGGGCAAAGGGGGCAGAGACCCUUCCCGCAGCUGGCGCCGGAGGGGCUGCGGGGGCCUGGCUGUCGGGGCGGGUGGAGCUGUGCCCUUGAGGUUGCCUCUCGUACCCCAGGGGAGCCCGUCUGGCCCCCAGUGCCCAGGGGAUGUUAACCCUCUGCUGCCUGCACCUGGCUGGCACAGGGCGCCGGGCUUCCCCGCUGUCCCCCGGGAAGCUUCGUUCUCCCAUCGGACGCCGGUGAGCGGUUUCUUCCUGGGCUGCUUUGUAUUGUGUCAGGACCGACCGUGUCUCCUCUCUUCUGUUUCUUACAAUAAAGUGGGGACAAGCCCUUGGUCCCCACCGUGCUCUC